GAUGAACGCUAGCGGCAGGCUUAAUACAUGCAAGUCGUGGGGCAGCAUGAGUAGCAAUACUUGAUGGCGACCGGCAAACGGGUGAGGAACACGUACACAACCUUCCUUCAAGCGGGGAAUAGCCCAGAGAAAUUUGGAUUAAUACCCCAUAAUAUAUUUGAUAAGGCAUCUUAUUAAUAUUAAAGCUUCGGCACUUGAUGAUGGGUGUGCGGCUGAUUAGAUAGUUGGCGGGUAACGGCCCACCAAGUCUACGAUCAGUAGCUGAUGUGAGAGCAUGAUCAGCCACACGGGCACUGAGACACGGGCCCGACUCCUACGGGAGGCAGCAGUAAGGAUAUUGGACAAUGGACGAAAGUCUGAUCCAGCCAUGCCGCGUGAAGGAUUAAGGUCCUCUGGAUUGUAAACUUCUUUAUAUGGGACAAAAAGGGCAUUCUUGUUCACUUGACGGUACCAUAUGAAUAAGCACCGGCUAACUCCGUGCCAGCA
rnacentral:rRNA from 1 species